GCCUUGCUAGCUCAAUCGGUAGAGCGUGAGACUCUUAUAGCAGGAGUUGAUCUCAAGGUUGCGGGUUCGACCCCCGCGUGGGGCU